rnacentral:rRNA from 1 species
GACGAACCGAGCGAACGUUGUUCGGAAUCACUGGGCUUAAAGGGCGCGUAGGCGGGUGCUCAAGUCUGGGGUGAAAUCCUCCGGCUCAACCGGAGAACUGCCAUGGAUACUGGGUGCCUCGAGGGUGAUAGGGGUAUGCGGAACUAUCGGUGGAGCGGUGAAAUGCGUUGAUAUCGAUAGGAACUCCGGUGGCGAAGGCGGCAUACUGGAUCACUUCUGACGCUGAGGCGCGAAAGCCAGGGGAGCGAACGGG